CACAUGCAGUCGAACGAAGCACUUUAUUUGAUUUCCUUCGGGACUGAUUAUUUUGUGACUGAGUGGCGGACGGGUGAGUAACGCGUGGGUAACCUGCCUUGUACAGGGGGAUAACAGUUGGAAACGGCUGCUAAUACCGCAUAAGCGCACAGUAUCGCAUGAUGCAGUGUGAAAAACUCCGGUGGUAUAAGAUGGACCCGCGUUGGAUUAGCUAGUUGGUGAGGUAACGGCUCACCAAGGCGACGAUCCAUAGCCGACCUGAGAGGGUGACCGGCCACAUUGGGACUGAGACACGGCCCAAACUCCUACGGGAGGCAGCAGUGGGGAAUAUUGCACAAUGGGCGAAAGCCUGAUGCAGCGACGCCGCGUGAGCGAAGAAGUAUUUCGGUAUGUAAAGCUCUAUCAGCAGGGAAGAUAAUGACGGUACCUGACUAAGAAGCACCGGCUAAAUACGUGCCAGCAGCCGCGGUAAUACGUAUGGUGCAAGCGUUAUCCGGAUUUACUGGGUGUAAAGGGAGCGCAGGCGGUGCGGCAAGUCUGAUGUGAAAGCCCGGGGCUCAACCCCGGUACUGCAUUGGAAACUGUCGUACUAGAGUGUCGGAGGGGUAAGCGGAAUUCCUAGUGUAGCGGUGAAAUGCGUAGAUAUUAGGAGGAACACCAGUGGCGAAGGCGGCUUACUGGACGAUAACUGACGCUGAGGCUCGAAAGCGUGGGGAGCAAACAGGAUUAGAUACCCUGGUAGUCCACGCCGUAGACGAUGAAUACUAGGUGUUGGGAAGCAUUGCUUCUCGGUGCCGUCGCAGACGCAGUAAGUAUUCCACCUGGGGAGUACGUUCGCAAGAAUGAAACUCAGAGGAAUUGACGGGGACCCGCA
rnacentral:rRNA from 1 species